rnacentral:rRNA from 1 species
UAUCCGGAUUUAUUGGGUUUAAAGGGAGCGUAGGCCGGAGAUUAAGCGUGUUGUGAAAUGUAGAUGCUCAACAUCUGAACUGCAGCGCGAACUGGUUUCCUUGAGUACGCACAAAGUGGGCGGAAUUCGUGGUGUAGCGGUGAAAUGCUUAGAUAUCACGAAGAACUCCGAUUGCGAAGGCAGCUCACUGGAGCGCAACUGACGCUGAAGCUCGAAAGUGCGGGUAUCGAACAGGAUUAGAUACCCUGGUAGUCCGCACGGUAAACGAUGGAUGCCCGCUGUUGGUCUGAAUAGGUCAGCGGCCAAGCGAAAGCAUUAAGCAUCCCACCUGGGGAGUACGCCGGCAACGGUGAAACUCAAAGGAAUUGACGGGGGCCCGCACAAGCGGAGGAACAUGUGGUUUAAUUCGAUGAUACGCGAGGAACCUUACCCGGGCUUGAAUUGCAGAGGAAGGAUUUGGAGACAAUGACGCCCUUCGGGGCCUCUGUGAAGGUGCUGCAUGGUUGUCGUCAGCUCGUGCCGUGAGGUGUCGGCUUAAGUGCCAUAACGAGCGCAACCCCUCUCCUUAGUUGCCAUCAGGUCAUGCUGGGCACUCUGGGGACACUGCCACCGUAAGGUGUGAGGAAGGUGGGGAUGACGUCAAAUCAGCACGGCCCUUACGUCCGGGGCUACACACGUGUUACAAUGGCAGGUACAGAGAGACGGUCCCUUGCAAAAUGGAUCAAAUCCUUAAAGCCUGUCUCAGUUCGGACUGGGGUCUGCAACCCGACCCCACGAAGCUGGAUUCGCUAGUAAUCGCGCAUCAGCCAUGGCGCGGUGAAUACGUUCCCGGGCCUUGUACACACCGC